rnacentral:rRNA from 1 species
GUUGUUGCAGUUAAAAAGCUCGUAGUUGGAUUUCUGGUUGCGGAUGUCGGUCCGCUCCUUACGGAGUGUGCACCAGAUAUCUGCGUCCAUCCUCGGGGAGAGCGCAUUUGGCAUUAAGUUGUCGAGUGUGGGAUCCUCGUCAUUUACUGUGAGCAAAAUAGAGUGUUCAAAGCAGGCUUAGGCCGUUGAAUACUUUAGCAUGGAAUAAUAAGAUAGGACCUUGGUCUAUUUUGUUGGUUUGCGCUCCAAGGUAAUGAUUAAUAGGGAUAGUUGGGGGUAUUCGUAUUCAAUUGUCAGAGGUGAAAUUCUUGGAUUUAUGGAAGACGAACUACUGCGAAAGCAUUUACCAAGGAUGUUUUCAUUAAUCAAGAACGAAAGUUAGGGGAUCGAAGAUGAUUAGAUACCAUCGUAGUCUUAACCAUAAACUAUGCCGACUAGGGAUUGGUGGUCGCUUGUAACGACUCCAUCAGCACCUUAUGAGAAAUCAAAGUCUUUGGGUUCCGGGGGGAGUAUGGUCGCAACGCUGAAACUUAAAGAAAUUGACGGAAGGGCACCACCAGGAGUGGAGCCUGCGGCUUAAUUUGACUCAACACGGGGAAACUUACCAAGGUCAGACAUAGUGAGNNNNA